rfam:Bacteroidales bacterium WCE2008 genome assembly, contig: Ga0070252_17
AAGGAGAAAGCCGAAAAUCCUUUAAAGAGUAGGCA